AUCGCUCCCGGAUUUCUUCUGCUUUCUCAAGAUUUUUGUCAACUUUCUCUGGAUUUCUUCAUCUCCUCCUCCUCUGGACACCUCAGCCUCGCUAUUCCUUCCUGAUUCAAGAAAUCGGUGGUAGUGGUGGUGGUGAUUUAUUUGAGUUUCCACAGGUGUCAAAAAUGGUCAAGUUCACGUGCUGUGUGUGCGAUUCCAAGUCUGGCGUCAGGAAAAGCAUGCGCUCUGCUAAUGAGGAUUCGCUGUGGGGAAUACUACGAGGG